CCCGGCCCCAAAACAAAUAAUUUUAAAAGAAACAAAAAUUUAAAAAACAACUAACAACCAGGAAUAACCCUCUCCUUUGAGAACCCCAAUACCACCUCACAAUACACAUAAUCAUGAGAAUCUGUAUUAAGGGUUUCUCACCCUUAAUACAGGAAGUUGCCAUACAAAAGGAAGUAUGCAGACGUCGCUCUGUGUCUCUUAAAGUUCCAACGUUUCCUUACUCAUAAAUGACAAAGAGUGCUCUUCAGAUUGACACAUCAGGUUGCAGCUCUUCUCUGCUUGAAAUCCCUCUGUAGCUUUUCAAGGUAGUGUCCCCUCCUUCGAAGGGAACAGCAGCUCCUUUGUGACCAGGAUCCAGCACACGUUUCGUCUCCUAUUUGUACUCUCCGGCUCUUGUGUGCUGGUCUUCUCCCUCCAGCUCCAGGGAAUGAUGUGCGUUUUCCUGGCAUUUGCCUUCUGCCUCUUUCCUGGAUCCGGGCUGUUUCCACUUCCUCCCCUCCCCACUCCCACGCCCCUGCCCAUCACCUACUCAUCCUGCAAGUCUGACCUGAAGCCCUGCCUCUUGUGCAAGAUCUCCGGACCCUCAGCAGAGACCUCCCUCCAUGCUCCUGUUGCAGGACUUUCCCUUAGUUCAGCUGCAAGAUCUCCGGACCCUCAGCAGACCUCCUUCCCUGUUCCUGUUACAGGACUUUCCCUUAGUUCAGCCAACCACGGGGUCCUUGUCCGUCCCACGGCCACGAAAAUGUAGGCUUGCAGACGGUUUGAAGGGUGAGUAAAGCAGGGUUUUAUUGGGUGAAAAGGAAAAAAGGGAGGAAAAGGGACCCUCUGCGAAGCCAGAGUCCCUGCUGG
rnacentral:lncRNA from 10 species